rnacentral:rRNA from 1 species
AGGAUAAACGCUGGCGGCGUGCCUAACACAUGCAAGUCGAACGUCUCUUCUUUCGGGAAGAGGAGUGGCGGACGGGUGAGGAACACGUGGGAACCUGCCCUUUAGUGAGGAAUACCGGCGAGAAAUCGCCGACAAGACCGCAUAGCCCUCUUUGAUGAGAGUCAAAGAAGGAAAGCUUCGCAAGAGGCGCUAGAGGAGGGGCCUGCGUCCGAUUAGCUAGUUGGUGGGGUAAGAGCCUACCAAGGCGUCGAUCGGUAGCUGGUCUGAGAGGACGAUCAGCCACACUGGGAUUGAGAACGGCCCAGACUCCUACGGGGGGCAGCAGUGAGGAAUUUUCCGCAAUGGACGCAAGUCUGACGGAGCAACGCCGCGUGCAGGAUGAAGGUUUUCGGAUCGUAAACUGCUUUUCGUCGGGGACGAGCAAGGACGGUACCCGAGGAAGAAGCCCCGGCUAACACGUGCCAGCAGCCGC